rnacentral:lncRNA from 1 species
GGGGAGGGGUGGCCGGCGGCAGCCUGGCCGCCCUUGUCUCUCCCGGGGAGGCCAGAACCGGCUGGGCCUGGGUGCAGCCCCCCUGCCCAGGCCUUGGCCUCCUAGCCCGGCAGAGCCGCCUCCCAGCCUGCCCCUGGGGAGGGGCCACCUGGUGUCAAUUAAACCCCAGCCACUCGGCCGCACCACGCCAGGCAGCUGAUUAGUGCUGCUGGCCUCUCCAGAUGGGGAGCCCUGCCUGAGAGGGGGCGGCCGCCACCACGCCAGGGGGAGGCUCGCCGGAGCCGCAGAAUGAUAAGAACUGAGGCUUCUCAAGCUCUUACCGCCUCCCAGCCCCACAGUGAACACUUCCUGCCAUCCUGUCACUGAAUGCCCAUCCUGACCCCAAAGGUUAGUACUUUUCUUGUCAAGAUCAUUGUGCAGGGGGGGAGGCACAGAUAAGUUAAAUGGCUUGGCCACGGGCACCCAGCUUGGAAACAGUGGAGGCAGGAUUCAAACCCAGGAAAUCAGACACCCCAGGCAGAGGAGCUAACCACUGAGCAACAUGACCUCAUAACUAGUUUCUUACCCGGUCCCUGGUGGUACUGCUCUUGGCAAGUCUGAGUUUGGGACCCUCGCAAAGGACUGUGGUGUGGAACACACACACACACACUUUUCUGGGUCUUUCGUCCCAGGAACCACUUCCCUGACACCAGAAGGGUUACAUAUUUAUUGUGGGGUCGCUACAUGAGGAGGCCCCAGAAGGGACGAUGCUUCCCUUAGGUAGUGACUUGCUCAUGGUGGCAUUUCUGGCACUGUGACAGGUUAGAGCAAUGGUGGACAGGGGACCCUCCCAGGGCCUCUCCCUCCCUCCCUUGUGGAGAACCAUAAACUCUCUUUAUAAUUCACAAGGCCUGAGGGAUCAUGGCAGGGGACAGGAGGCAGAGGUGAAAGGAGAGAUGGAGUUCAUUCAAAACUCUUUAUUGGCACUCUGUUAGGCAUUGCAGAGCCAGCCAGCUGUGAAUAGGGCACAGAGACAGAGACAGACAAGCAGCUAGGGAGCCAAGGGCAGUGAGAUCUAUGCCAGGUUGGAGGUGAGCCCAGGGGACUCAGGAAGCGUGGAGGGGGCACCUGCCCCAGUCUCAGGAGGUCGAAGAGGCCUCCUGGAGGAAGUGAUGUCUCAGCUGGGAUCUGCUGGAUGAGAAGGGGUGAGCCAGGUAAAGAGGGGUGGGAAGGUGUUCCAGGCAUAAAGAAGAGCUUGUGCAAAGGCCCAGGGGUGGAAGACAACAGCCCAUGCCAGCCUCUGCGACUCACUCCAUCUUGAGGGCAAUGGAAGGCCACUGACGGGCUUGAAGUAAGGGAGUGACGAGAUUAUAUUCGUGUUUUAGAAUACCAUUCACUGCUGUGAGGAGAAUGGAUUGGAUGGGCGGAG